GGCACUGGGUGAAAAUUGCAUAAAUGAACCUGGCACUGAAUGAGUUAAGACUCAUUUGGUUCACGUUUGCCACCAGGAAGCUUGUUUUCUUUUUGCAUUAUUCACACACAGACCUAUUUAUCCACAUGUAGAAACCUCCUACCAGAGUCGAGUGAUUUUCCUUUAACAUAAAAAAUUUGCAUUUACAAAGAUUUCUUUUUCUUAAAGGGAUUUUCUCCUUUAUUUUUAGGAGACGCAUUCUCUUACAUAAAAGCUUUUCUGCAAGUGAGUGGAGCUGCAUCACAUUUAACCUUAAGGGUCCCCGAGGACACAUUCUUUGAAACCUUUAUUCGAUCCCCCACAUCAGCUUCUCGAGCGCAUCUGCAUGUGAUUUUCACUUUCAUAUUCAAACCUUGUCGAGCUGAAGAAACACGGGGCCGUUCGCACCCAGCAGCCUCUGUUUUCUCCUCUAUUUCUGUGUAGCUGUCAGAUGUGCAUGCUGUUUGGCUAUGAGCCAUACAUUGUUUGUCCUUGAAUGUGCAUUUCCUGACGCUAAUUAUCUGUAACUUAAAAAGAAACAGCGGUGUAAGUUAAUUUUCCUCUGAAG